rnacentral:lncRNA from 1 species
GGGGAACAAGACAGCACCGGGUUUCACACUGGCAAGGCAGGAGGCUGUGUGCUGCCAGAACGACCAGCAGGGGGCGCAAAGGCCACGCCAGGCACCUGCUGGCCUCAGAGAAAACAGAAAGGGAACCAGGAAGCCCACUCCUGCUGUCCUUUCUCUGCAAGGAAAUGUGCCAGGGCACUGCAGCCCAGACAGUCGGCAGUAGAGGACCCAUGAAGGUCAUUAUCACUGCUUUUCCCUCCUCUUAUUGAAGCUCUUCCCUCUGCAGCCCUGGAAGCCUGAUCCUACCUACAGAUGUCAGCGAAAUCUCCCUCCCUCAGGGUCCCUGUCUAGUUUGUUUUUGACCCGGCCACAAAUACUAGGACAGAAAAAUAAUGGACGGCACAAAGUAUCUUUGUGCAAAGAAAGCAGCAAAGAGAAUUAAGAGAAUUGCAUCAUAUAAAGAGUGAAUUAAACCAUCUAAAGGAGCAAAAAUUCAUCAUCACAUGGACAAGAAAUUAAGACGUAACAUCCAUCUCACUAUUUGCAAAGUGGCUUAUUCCUACAGACAAUGCAGAUAUGUAAAAAGCAGCUGGAAACCUAGGAGCAGAAGCCCAGCAUAAAGAUCUCUGAAAGCCUGGAUGCGUGGAUUCCUCUCUUACUUCCCAAAACGGUGGGGUGGAAAUGUGAAUAUCAGCAUGAUGCACAGAUCUCUGCAGAUGUCCAGCGAACUGAAUUUCUAGACGCUAUAAUCUAUGUUCUUUCCCAACCCCCACUUCAGUUUACAUAUCGCAGGCCAUAGAUCCUGUUUGUUGAAAAGCGAUCAGCUAGAAAACAAGAGUGGUUAUAACCUGUGCUGCCCAGUGAUCAGGAAAAGAGAGCGGAUGAAACUUCCAUGACUUUCUGUUAGUCUGAUUAAUAUCCAUGCCAAAUGUAAGAUUAGUUAAAAGGCCUUAUUGCUUCCCACCAAAAUGUUCCUUCACUAGCUAUAUACUACACUGAAAUGUAAAGUUAUGGGUAUGUUUAACAGUUUAAUUUGUCAGUGGGCAUCCAACUCUUCUAUUUGUGUUUUUACUUUGAGCUUAAUUGGAGCAGACAAAUAGAGGUGACCUCUAACUGUUUUCUUCCUGAAGCCAUUUUCAGGGCAGAAGUGCUUUACCCACUUCAUUGAGAAACCACCUUUGCAUGCAGUACCCUGAGCUGUCUUCAGCACACCAAGCAUCCACAACAUGGGAAAUACCGUGCUUUAAAUGUUGCUUUAAUCACAGUGCUCAUGAGUAAGGGCAUGUCCUGUCUCUUAUCCAUGAAAACACUCCCACAAAAUGAAGUCACACCCAGUAUCUGUUAACGGAGAUACUGAGUGGGUGAAGAAGACUCAUUCCCUAAUGCAAUUCAGGUCACACAGGGUAAAAAAGAAAAAAAAAUCCUUUUCUGUUGAGGAUACAGAUGGAGAGAAAAUGGAAAAUGCCUUUCAGGAAGCACAAGCCUAGUUUUCUAAUUGUGUUUCAGUGAACACGCAGGUGAACUUACCUGUGUGGCUUGGUAUUGUGGUGGGUUUUCAGCUUCUUCUCCACCAAAUCCUUUGAAAAGCAGCAGUGGCAGAAACAAAUAACCCAAUUAAAAACAAUAAUAGCAACAAUAAAAAAAGAAAAGAUGAAGAAA